AUCACCUGGGGAUUUGCUAAAAUGCAGAUUUUAAUUCAGUAAUCUAGUGUGAGGCCUGAAUUCUGCAUUUCUAGCAGCUCCCAGGUAAUGCUGA
rnacentral:pre_miRNA from 1 species